rnacentral:rRNA from 1 species
CCCUACGGGAGGCAGCAGUAAGGAAUCUUGCACAAUGGGCGAAAGCCUGAUGCAGCGACGCCGCGUGAAGGAUGAAGGCCUUCGGGUUGUAAACUUCUUUUAUCAGGGAAGAAAAAAAUGACGGUACCUGAUGAAUAAGCCCCAGCUAACUACGUGCCAGCGGCCGCGGUAAUACGUAGGGGGCGAGCGUUGUCCGAAUUUACUGGGCGUAAAGCGCGCGUAGGCGGACCUUUAAGUCAGGUGUGAAAUGCCGGGGCUCAACUCCGGAACUGCACCUGAAACUGGGGGUCUUGAGGUAUGGAGAGGGAAGUGGAAUUCCUGGUGUAGCGGUGAAAUGCGUAGAUAUCAGGAGGAACACCCGUGGCGAAGGCGGCUUCCUGGCCAUAUCCUGACGCUGAGGUGCGAAAGCUAGGGGAGCGAACGGGAUUAGAUACCCGUGUAGUCCC